GGAGGAGCGAGGUGACGCAGGCGUAAUAAUAGAGAAGGUGCCAGAAAGAUCCAAAACAAGUGGCUGCGGCCGUCGCCCAGAAGUCAUCGGACGCUGGAAUCUGGUGAGGAUAAGAGAGGCCUAAAGGUGACUGGUGAAGGGUAGCUGGAACCACUUGGGUGCUCGGGUGAGGGCAGGAUCGAUCGCCCUUUCAGGGAGGGGGGGUCGGAUUCAGACAGUACCACCUGUGUGGCGCUCAGGGUUGUCUUGGUCGGUCCCACUUGCAGGGGGCCGAGGGUCACUUUUGAAAGGUAUCACUUGAGUGGGAUGUUGGAGCUAGCAGGAAGGUACUAGUGGACAGAACCCGAGGGCUAUGACCGGACAUUUGCCAUCCGAAGUCACCGGGCAGUGGACAAGGUGCCCUGCAAUGGGCCAUGUAGCUCAUUCGAGCUGGUCGUCUAGGUCAGUCGGUGGCAAGUUCGAAACGUACUACUCAGAAAAGGGCAUCUGGGCUUGGUCCUCCCGACAGUGAUGUGGACCGGUGGGGUCUAGCGUUCGACCUGUUACUAUGGGAUCUCGGGCGAUACCAUUCCUGUCCGUGGGAGGGAGAGAGGUUGAGACCGUUGAGGGUGUGGGGGGCGACUCUGCCCGGAGACACCUUGCGGGGCCCACGCUCUGGCCUCUGUGGGCUUUGAGCCACUGUGUCGCUGACCACGACCUCCUCCCCGCCGUGUGGGUUCUAGGCCCUGGUUCUGAGCUUGUUCCGCACCCCUCCCCUGGGAAUGGCGUUGUCCGGGUCGACCCCGGCCCCGAGCUGGGAGGAGGAUGAGUGUUUGGAUUACUACGGCAUGCUGUCGCUUCACCGUAUGUUCGAGGUAGUGGGCGGGCAGCUGACCGAGUGCGAACUGGAGCUCCUGGCCUUCCUGCUGGAUGAGGCCCCCGGCGCCCCCGGCGGCCUGGCCCGCGCCCGCAGCGGCCUGGAGCUGCUUCUGGAGCUGGAACGCCGCGGGCAGUGCGACGAGAGCAACCUGCGGCUGCUGAGCCAACUCCUGCGCGUGCUAGCCCGUCACGACCUCCUGCCACAUCUGGCGCGCAAGCGGCGCCGGCCAGUGUCCCCUGAGCGAUACAGCUAUGGCAAUCCCAGCUCUUCUUCCAAGAGGACAGAGGACAGUUGCCGGCGUCGGCGACAGGCGAGCAGUUCUUCGGACUCUCCUCAGAGUCAGUGGGACACAGGCUCCCCACCAACCAAGCGGCAGCGGCGGAGUCGGGGCCGCCCUAGCAGUGGUGCCCGGCAGCGGCGGAGAGCAGGCCUUGCAGCCUCGCAGCAGCACCAGCAGCACCAGGAGUUGGGCAGGCCCUCCUCAGAAGGCAAGGUGACCUGUGAUGGGGAAACAGGCUCAGAGAGGUGAGGUCACAUGCCCAAGGCCCACAGCUAGAGCGUGGCAGAGCUGGGACUCACUUUCAGACAUCCGGCUCCGGGUUCGGGCAGAGUACUGCGAGCAUGGGCCAGCCUUGGAGCAGGGUGUGGCGUCCCGGAGACCUCAGGCGUUGGCCCGGCAGCUGGAUGUGUUUGGACAAGCCACUGCUGUGCUGCGGUCAAGGGACCUGGGCUCUGUGGUGUGUGACAUCAAGUUCUCAGAGCUGUCCUAUCUGGACGCCUUCUGGGGCGACUACCUGAGUGGCGCCCUGCUGCAGGCCCUUCGGGGCGUGUUCCUGACUGAGGCUUUACGGGAGGCCGUGGGCCGAGAGGCUGUCCGCUUGCUGGUCAGUGUGGACGAGGCUGACUAUGAGGCUGGCCGGCGUCGCCUGUUGCUGAUGGAGGAGGAAGGAGGGCGGCGUGGGACCGAGGCCUCCUGAUCCUGGAUCUGGCAGGACUGACCCCACCUCCAAGUCUUCGAGGGCCACCAGAAAGACGACGACCCUCUUGCCCCCAGACGUCUGACAUUCAGCAGCUUGAGGACGGUGUCAGGGCUGCAGGUUCCAUGAUGGCCUCUCCGAUGAUGUGGGCUUUGAGGCAUAAACCACUUCCAGCUGCUUCCAUCCCGAGUUCCCUGCUCCCAGGUGGUUUCCCUCAGCCUUGGGGGCCCAGGCUCACAGAGCCCCGAAGCAGGGAGGCAUAACCCCCUGCACAUCGUGUCUCUCACUCUGGGCUGAUGCUGUCUGCCCCACACACUUUAGCCUAAGGGCUACUCUCUCAGGAUCUCAGAUUUACUGUCCCCAUGUGGGUUUCAGCCACAGCAGUGGGCUCUGGAGCUGGGGAUUGCUCACCUUGCCCAUUCAUCUAACCAACCUGGGCUCUGCCUGCCGCACAUACAGAUAUCCCACUCUCAUCACCUUCCCCUGCUCCCUGGAGUGAGACAGACUUGCCUUUGGGCCUUUUAACCCAGACUAUCACACAUGGGCUUUGUGGCCACAUCAGGUCAAGGGAAGCUGUUUCAUACAGAGCUAGGACCAGAACCAGCCACUUUCUCGUGAAGGGAAGACGAGGACGAGGGCUGAUGGGAAGAUGGUUCACAAACUGCGCCAAUAAAACUGCCCUGGAAAGGGCACAGGUGGGCGUCCAGGCUCUCCGGUACUUUUUGUUCGUCAGCAAGGGGAAAGGGCUGGAGAAGAGCAAGAUGCUAGCUCAUCUGAACAGGCAUCUCCAUUCCUUGGGCCUCUUUUUCCUUAACCAUCACAGGAAAUAAGGCCCUGGCAUCGACGCCCAGCCUGUUCACACAUGCACUGUAGGGUUCUGUAUGCUCAUGGAGGGGAAAUCUUUCUAAGUUUUAUGUGUGCUUGUGCACCACGUGUGUUCUGGCCUCCUCGGAGGCCAAAGAACAGGGUGUUAGAUGCCUUGGAACUAGAGUUAGAGCCAGUCAAGUCACUGUGAGGCUGCUGGGUCCUCCGGAAGAACAGCCAGUGAUUCUAACCACUGAGCCGCUUCUCCAGCCAUUUUCAGGUGUUCGUAACGAGCCCGUACACUGAGUGUAGUGCCCAUGGAUGGCCAAGUUGUGAGAUCGCCCUGGAACUCAAGUUCCCAGAAGUCGUGAGCUGCCUGACAUGGCAGCUUGGAACCGAACCCUGGUCCCCUGGAAGAGGACUCCAGGAUUUUUAGCCCUCUCAGUGAGAGGAAUUGAUUAUUUCCAAAACUGUUGGAGCCCUGGGAAUGGGGAACUGGAAAGGAGAGGCAGCCAGGGGUUCUCUGCCUGCAAUUCCUUCCCCCGAGGCUCCCAACCCUCCCUCUCUGACUUUGGGUUUCAGAGUCCAAAGCUAAAGCACUACUUGCCACUAUGUGGCCCAAGGGGAAUGUGUGAGGCCUCUCCUGCCUUCUCCCCUCAGAAGGCAAAGACUCGAGUGUUUCUCACACGAAAUCAAGUCUUCCAUCCUUAGGGCCUAAGGAGCAAGGACUGGAGAGAUGGGGGUGGGUGGGUGGGUAGAUUCCAAGGGCUGCCCUCUUCUGCGUCAAGAAGUGUUCUUGCCCAUGCCUAAGUGCUCUUCCUGGACCCCUAAUGGUUGGUGGACAGGGAAGAAAUGGCAGACGUAGGGGUUGAGUUCUGUCCAGGAGUGGAGGUGGGUCCCACCGGCCUCUGUGUGUCCUCAGAACCUGCUCUUACUGCCUCAGAGCAAAGUUCUACUAGGUGGUCUGAUGGCAGGCUGCAUUGUGUGAGGUCAGUAAAGCAGUGCCCUGAAGGGUGAGCGGUUGCAGGCAGGCUGGACCAGUGAGGGGAGGCUUGCUUAAGUAGUCCUUUCCUGUCUGGCCCGGGAAGAGCAUAGGCUUGCUUUUAUUAGUUUGUUGAGAACUGGGUCCUACUCUGUAUCUCUGAAACACAUAAUGUGGAUCAGGCUGACCUCAGAGGUCCAACUGCCUCUGCCCCAGAGCUCUGGGAUAUGCCCUUAGGCCUUCUUACCACAGUUUAGCUCUGAGGCUCUCCCAGCGUGAGUUUUAAGUGUACCUGGAGGUGAAGCUGCCACACUCCUUGGCCCAGGACUGGCUCUGUUCAAGCCUUGAGGUAGCUCCCCUUUUCCCUCAGCUACAGUCUGAGGCUUCUGGCUGGGCAGAUUUCCUGCUCCAGGCCAGUUCUUUCCAUGCCUCUCUCAGACAGCCUCUCCUGCCUGUUAACUUCCACCCUACCUACACUUCACCCUAUCGGCUUUCAUCACGAUGUGCACCAGGGGGAAGUUAACCUAGGUAGGAGGAAAGGGACCUGUGCAGGUGGAGUGCUCCCAUAAGUCUGUCGUGGCACAAGCCCAAGGAGUUGCCCGGGCGCACCUGCAACCUUCCACGGUGCAUGCUCUGUGGAUCCCUCCUGGGCUUGUCAGAGAGUUUUGGGUACCAAAGAGGUCUAGUAGACUCCCCAGAAGUGGCUUACACCAGCACCAUGAAGGCAACGCAAGAGCUUCAAAAGUUCAGAGUCAGGAUUUGAGGGAGGGGGCAAUAUCUUACCACUGAGAUAGGACCCUGUUGGGGCUUGACGACAGUGGCCCAUCACUCCACAGAGGAACAGAGCUGAGGGCUUGCCCUGGAAUGAGGAGUUCCCCAGAAUGAUUCCAGUAUGUGGGGGCUGGGGGGCAGGGGCAAAACGGUCCUUACCAAGGCCUCAGAAUAUUUCUGAAUUAGAUGUAAAGAGACUGGGCAGAGGAGACAUUAAGGGGGAAAAAGCCACCUAGACCCUUUAUUUGGCCUGUAGUCUUCCUGCUGCCACCUAUAUGGGGAGUUGAGAACUAUCAGAGACAGAUGUGAGCCCUUGGCAUGGGAACUUAAGGUGACUGAGGUGGCCCUAGUGCACUCAGCUUGGCAGCAACUGUUCCAUGAAACCUCCAUGUAGCUGGGCUGAACUGAACACCCUGGGGAUUCCAGGUUGGGCUCGAGAAAUCGGGAAGAGCCCCUGUUUUAUUGAUACCCAAGACUGGCACUCCGGGACUCACAGACCAGAGUGACCAGACAGCUGUGACUGAGCAGUUGGGCUUCUCUGGAGAAGCCCAAAGGACAGUGAAUGGAGAGAUGCGGCCUGCUCACUAGCACGACCAGGCCCAACAGGGAACAUGUUUCUUAACCCCAGAGCUUGGGGGAGAAAGCAGGAGGGUCAGGAGUUCAAGGUCAUCCUCAAACACAACAAGUUUGAGGCCAGCCUGGUCUCCUUGAGACCCUGCCUCAAAAGCAACAAUGACAGAAAAAAUUACCACAUCACUGAGUAACAUUUGAGUCAUGAAAUACAACAUUCAGAAAAAGUAUGGAAGAUACCACAUGUAAUGUAAAUCUCAUGUGUAACCCCAUGCCGGGGUUUGUGGAGGAAGCAAGCUGAGCCAUCUCUCCUGGAGGCCUCUACCAGCUGCUUUUCCGUUCUUUCUUACUAUGUAGCCCUGGCUAACCUGGGACUCCCUACGUACACCAGGCUGGCCACAAACUCAGAGAUCCACCUGCCUUUGUGAGCUUUUCCGAGUGCUGGGGUUAAGGGUGUGGGACAACACAGCUAGCUGGUACAAUACAUUUUUAUUUUUCAUA